rfam:Porphyromonas catoniae ATCC 51270 ctg7180000005739, whole genome shotgun sequence.
AUGCACGUGGAUAGAUUUGAGAUGAUUGCAACCACACAAAAAAAUGCUAAACCCGUCACU